rnacentral:rRNA from 1 species
UACGAAGGGUGCAAGCGUUACUCGGAAUUACUGGGCGUAAAGCGUGCGUAGGUGGUUUGUUAAGUCUGAUGUGAAAGCCCUGGGCUCAACCUGGGAACGGCAUUGGAAACUGGCUUACUAGAGUGCGGUAGAGGGAUGCGGAAUUCCAGGUGUAGCGGUGAAAUGCGUAGAUAUCUGGAGGAACACCGGUGGCGAAGGCGGCAUCCUGGACCGGUAUUGACGCUGAGGCGCGAAAGCCAGGGGAGCAAACGGG